GGGGAUAUUGCACAAUGGGGGAAACCCUGAUGCAGCGACGCCGCGUGUGGGAAGACGGUCCUCUGGAUUGUAAACCACUGUCCCCAGGGACGAAGAUGACGGUACCUGGGGAGGAAGCUCCGGCUAACUACGUGCCAGCAGCCGCGGUAAUACGUAGGGAGCGAGCGUUGUCCGGAAUUACUGGGUGUAAAGGGAGCGUAGGCGGGACUGCAAGUUGGGUGUCAAAUCUACCGGCUCAACCGGUAGCCGCACUCAAAACUGCAGUUCUUGAGUGAAGUAGAGGCAGGCGGAAUUCCUAGUGUAGCGGUGAAAUGCGUAGAUAUUAGGAGGAACACCAGUGGCGAAGGCGGCCUGCUGGGCUUUUACUGACGCUGAGGCUCGAAAGUGUGGGGAGCAAACAGG
rnacentral:rRNA from 1 species